CUCGCUUAACAUGCGGGGCAUUGUAUUAUCAGGCACAAUUUUAUAAUAACAUAGCAGGUUAAACAUUGUAGCUUCGACUGUAGGUAUAUAAUUAUGCUAUAAGCAAGCUUGGUUUGAGCGUGGGUUAAAGUAGUAGUUCACGUUGGAUACACGCAUACAUUGCUAGGCAGGUAGAUCAUGCACAGUUGUUAUGGUUAAUGUGCUAGGCUAGUGUCAUGUGGUGAUGCUCGUGUUUGGCACUGAAGUGUAGUGUCUAUGUGUGACAAGCUGAGUGAGCGACAGCAUAUAUGACAAGCAUAACUCACAG